AACCUUAUGGACCUGCGGGCGUAUACCUGCGGAGGGAUCAUUAUUGAAUAAACUUGGUUAGGUUGUUGCUGGCUCCUUGGAGCAUGUGCACGCCGACUCCAUUUUUAACCCCCUGUGCACCUAUUGUAGACCUGAAUAACUUGUCAAGUGGCGCAAAACUACUUGGUCGGAGAAUUGCUGUGCGAAAGCCAGCUUUUCUUGUAUUCAGGUCUAUGUUUUACACAAACUCCAUCGGAAUGU
rnacentral:misc_RNA from 1 species